rnacentral:rRNA from 1 species
AACGAACGCUGGCGGCAGGCUUAACACAUGCAAGUCGAGCGCCCCGCAAGGGGAGCGGCAGACGGGUGAGUAACGCGUGGGAACGUACCUUUUGGUUCGGAACAACUCCGGGAAACUGGAGCUAAUACCGGAUAAGCCCUAACGGGGAAAGAUUUAUCGCCGAAAGAUCGGCCCGCGUCUGAUUAGCUAGUUGGUGAGGUAACGGCUCACCAAGGCGACGAUCAGUAGCUGGUCUGAGAGGAUGAUCAGCCACACUGGGACUGAGACACGGCCCAGACUCCUACGGGAGGCAGCAGUGGGGAAAAUUGGACAAUGGGCGCAAGCCUGAUACAGCCAUGCCGCGUGAGUGAUGAAGGCCUUAGGGUUGUAAAGCUCUUUUGUCCGGGAAGAUAAUGACUGUACCGGAAGAAUAAGCCCCGGCUAACUUCGUG